rnacentral:rRNA from 1 species
GAGUUGAAUCCUGGGUUCCAGGAGGAACCGCUGGCGGCCAUGCUUUACCACAUGCAAAUUCGAGCGAAUGCAAUUUCCUUUGGGAUCGGAUUUAGCGGCGGACGGGUGAGUAACACGUGGGCAACUUGCCUCAUAGAGGCGAAUAGCUUUCCUAAAGAGAGAUUGAUUCCGCAUAAGAUAGUAGUACCGCAUGCUACAGCAAUAAAAGGAGUAAUCCGCUAUGAGAUGAGCCCGUGGCGCAUGAUCUAGUUGGUGAGGUAACGGCUCACCAAGGCGACGAUGAGUAGCCGACGUCAGAGGAUGAUCGUCCACAUCGGGACUGAGACACGGCCCAGACUCCUCCGGGAGGCAGCAGCGGGGAAUAUUGCACAACGGGGGAAACCAUUAUGCAGCAACGCCGCGUGAGUGAUGACGACGUUCGUGUUGUAAAGCUCUGUCUUCAGGGACGAUAAUGACGGUACGUGAGGAGGAAGCCACGCCUAACUACGUGCCAGCAGCCGCGGUAAUACGUAGGUGGCGAGCGUUGUCCGUCAUUUACUGGGCGUAAAGGGAGCGUAGGCGGAUUUUUAAGUGAGAUGUGAAAUACUCGGGCUUAACCUGAGUGCUGCAUUUCAAACUGGAAGUCUAGAGUGCAGGAGAGGAGAAGGGAAUUCUUAGUGUAGCGGUGAAAUGAGUAGAGAUUAGGAAGAACACCAGCGGUGAAGGCGCUUAUCUGGACUCGUAACUGACGAUGAGGCUGGAAAGCGUGGGGAGCAACCACGAUUAGAUACCCUGGUAGUCCUCCGCCGUAAUACGAUGAAUACUAGGUGUAGGGGUUGUCAUGACCUCUGUGCCG